rnacentral:lncRNA from 1 species
CAAGAGCUCUGAUACUGGAGGACAAGGGAGACCCAAGACUUAGUCCUCUCCUGAGCCUAAGAACUCUCUGUUGGGAUUAAAAAAUAAAUUAAAAAAAAAAGAGAUGUGAACACCUGGCCCAAAAGAACCCUCAAAAAUGGGGACUCAUCCAUUCAUUCCCCCUUGUAAGCAUUCAUCACCCCACAAACUUGCCUCUCCUCCGUGCCCAUCAAAUAUUCCGAAGAUAGAGGGAUGGGUCCUGUUGAUUAGGUCUGUGACCACUUCGAACCUGUCCUCCAUGUGGUCCCUCCGCCCUUGGAUGGAGUAGACAGCCACAUUGUGGCUCUUGAACUCCCAGGUCUUGGAGAACUCUGCAUCCAGCACAUCCAGCCCGCCGAACCUGUCAUUCUGCAUGAUCUCGGCCACUUUGCCCUUCACCAUCUUCACAGCAUCCCUGCUGGACUUGACAAUGGUUUUCACCUCAUCUGUGUGGAAGAAGUAACUCCAGAGGGCCAGGCUGAUACACAACAGGAACAGGGUCUCUGGUCUUAGCAAGAAGUAACGCAUGAUCCGGCCCAGCAGAGACAACAAAGUCAUUGUAUCCUCUAUCAUUUAUUAUAGAGACAGUGUAUCUCCCACACCAUGCACCACGCACCCCGAUGGCUGGGAUGGGUCUAAGACAAGGCAGCAAAUCAAUGCAUGCUGUGCUAAUGCAAGCCCAGCGAGGGCAGGGCUAGCCGCAGCCUCUUGCUCCUGCUGCUGCUUCAAGUGGGGCUCACUCACUCAGACGGCUGGGAUGGCUUUGAUACAAGAUGAUUUCCAGCUAGCUGACAGAUGGUGCUUUUAAAAACUGACCAAAUUUAUGACAGCUGACAUAACCCCCACCAACACAAGUGUGGCUCGAAAAUUAAUCAGAGAACCACAAGAGACAAGAAAACCAGUCAACAAUUCAAACUGAAAAACAUCAUAGAAUGCCUUUUGGCCAACACUCAGUGUUUAGGGAUAUAUCUUCCAAGUCUACCAGCAAGCCUUCCCUUCCUCAUAUAUUUUUGUCAGUUAGAAGGAAANCUGAAAAACAUCAUAGAAUGCCUUUUGGCCAACAUGUUUAGGGAUAUAUCUUCCAAGUCUACCAGCAAGCCUUCCCUUCCUCAUAUAUUUUUGUCAGUUAGAAGGAAAUAUCUAAGCACUAGAUUUCUUAUCUUAUCUUGCAAAGAUCAGUUUAAGCACAUUAUGUCAAACAGCUUAACCUAAUGGUAACCAGAAACGCCUGUUUGUAUACAUCUGACUCACACAUCCAGGCAUCAGAAGCAGGAAAGUUAAGGUCUACUGCUGGGUAUGAAGAAACUGAAUUGUAACAUUCAUACAGCACUUUUAAUUCAACUAUAUCAAAGCACCUAUACAAGGUUUGGUAUUAUAUUCAUGAGGAAACUGAGAAACACUAUUGCUGUGUGUCCUUGCGAAAAUCCUUUAGGCCUACAUUUUCAGGAGCCUCCAUUAAUUUUGGGUGCCUCAACUGGUGACACCUAAUGAGUUCAAUAGAGUUACAUUGCUGUGUAAGUGAAGAAAUGCAAUGGUAAAUCAGGUCCCUCAUUUUCAGAGGUGCUAAGCACCGGCAACUCCUCUUGAAAUCUAUUAGCAUUAAGGGUGCUUAGCACUUCAAAGUCAGGCCCUAAGUAUCUCAGGUUGGGCACCCAAAAUUAGUAGAGCCUUUGGACAGAGUAGUAUCAUAACCCAGGUUAUCUGAUGCCUAGAUCCAUUCUUUAAUCACUACUCUAUGCUGCCUCCCUACAGAGGGCACAAUUCAUAUGCUAUUCGGGAGGAGAGAGAGAACAGUUAGUACCUGAUCAGAUUAUAUUGUUUUAGUGCUGACCAGAUGAAAAGGCAUAUUGCAGAUUUUACCAAUGUUGUAAUGUAACUUCCCAUUGAUAAAGACAUUCCCACCUUCUCUCCUCUCCCCCAGCACCCCACCCACACUAUUCCAAAGAUACAGGAAUAUCACCACUAGACUUACAUAAAAUGUCUCCAAUAAUUGCUUUGACCUUUAUUUACCUUCAGCUCAGGAACAAAAGGAAACUAAAUAAUUUUCCAAAUUAAAGUUGUCGUCUUGUCUCAGCAAAGAAUUGAUAUUAACGUAUCCUCUUUGCCCUUUUUUUAAAUCUUCCAAUAUAUUUAAACACAAACUACAUUUCUUGCCUUUUGAGACAACCAAUACUGUUCUGUUAAUAUGUAUGGUCUCAUAAUAAAAGCAGUUACAGGAAGGCCA